UACGGAGGGCGCGAGCGUUAUUCGGAAUCAUUGGGCGUAAAGCGCGUGUAGGCGGCUGCGUAAGUCGGGUGUGAAAGCCCGGGGCUCAACCCCGGAAUUGCGUUCGAAACUGCGCAGCUAGAGUCUCGGAGGGGAGGGCGGAAUUCCCGGUGUAGAGGUGAAAUUCGUAGAUAUCGGGAGGAACACCAGUGGCGAAGGCGGCCCUCUGGACGAUGACUGACGCUGAGACGCGAAAGCGUGGGGAGCAAACAGG
rnacentral:rRNA from 1 species